rnacentral:lncRNA from 1 species
UCGACUUGUGUUGGCUUAGGACGCUCAAUUGACAAAUUUUCAGGAAUUUUGUGAGCCAUUUGUUAAACACAUCUAUUAUUAUUAUAAAUUAAACUAGGUAAGUCUUAUUUGAACUUAUAAUUAAACAAGUAUAUUAAAACAAAGACAAUCAAUACUUGAAACUCAUCACUUCCCUGGUAUUUGCUACUUUUUUCUAUAAUCUAUGCUAUGGAGGUUACUUACAACUAUUGUAGCUGUAGGGUGGUCUUGUGGGUUGAAUUGUGUCUCCCCAAACUCAUAUGUUAAAGUUUUAAUCCCCAGUCUCAGAAUGUGACCUUGUUUGGAAAUAGGGUUGUUGUAGGUGUAAUUAAUUAAAAUGAGGUCAUUAGGGUGGGCCCCUCAUCCAAUACGCCUGGUGUCUUUAUAAAAAGGGAAAAUUUGGACGCACACAGGAAGAAUACCAGGUGAACAUAAAGGCAGAGAUUGGGGUGAUGCUGCAGAAGCCAGGGGCUGCCAAAGAUGUCCAGCAAACCACCAGAAGCUAGGACAGAGUCACAGAGAGUCACGGAACAGAUUCUCCCUCACAGUCCUCAGGAGGAACCAACCCACUGACACCUUGACCUGGGACUUCCAGCCUCCAGAACCGUGAGAGAAUAAGUUUCUGUUGUGUAAGGCACCCCGUUUGAGAUAUUUUGUGAUGGCAGCCCCAGGAAAUGAACAUAGGCUGACAUACUAUAUUAUGCAAUGUGUGCUACAGGUCACGCCCUCUACCCGCCAACUCCUCAUUCUUUGACUUCACAUUGAUAGCUUGAAAUCAGCCACAGGGUGCCACAAAAUCUCGGUUUGAUUCAUUGUUUCUUUGAUUGUCCAGAAAAGGUGUUGGUGAACUACAACCUGGGGGCCAAAUCUGGGCCUCCACCUGUGUUUGUGCAAGUUCCAUUGGAGCACAGCUGUGCCCAUUCGUUCGUGUGUUGUCUGUGGUUGCUCCCACCCUGCAAUGGCAGAGUGGCGUAGUUGUGACAGAGACCGCGUGGCUCACAGAGUUGACAAUGUUUAUUAUCUAGCCUUUUGGAGUGAAAGUUUGCUGACCCUUGGCUUAGACUGAAGAAAGUGAUGGAGGCGAUGUCAAAAACACAGAGGAAACUUUACAAAUGUGACUGUCUGUAGCCAUUACCUUGUGAUAGGACAAAAAUUGAGAAAAUAUUCUUCCGGUAUUUGAAAACGAUUAUCUGACGCUGCAAAGUAGUGGCUCUUAUCUUUGAUGAAUGAGUGAAGUUCUGACAUAGAUUUUCAUCAUUUUGCUUAUCUCUUAUUUGUUUAUGCAAAUAAAAAAAUUAACCAACAUUCAUGUCAGAACUAUAAUUGUUUGUCAGUUGCAACCAGAGAUUGGCUGCAGAUACAAGAGUUUGUCAAAAAUCAAUGGAAGCCUCUGUGAGAAUCAAUCGGCGCUGUGGAAUUUAUUUGCCCGUACUGAAUAACAACAAAGCUUAUAGUAAACCUACGUGUCUAUACUAUACACACACGUUUCCUCCCCUGGAGAACCAGUGGUUGAACCUUUCCCAGCACACCACUUCCUCCAUCCUCCGUGCGGCACCCUCCGCUGAGCAGAGGUCACCCAGUUCACGGGUCUGUUGCAAUCUGACUUCGGCCUUGGCCUCCCCGCUGUGUAGAUUUGGCUUGUCUGAGAGAGUGCUGUUGGUGGGAGCAAUUGCAGUAGGAAAACUCAGUGUCACCAAGGAGCCCGGCCUGGCUAAAAUCUGCUCUAGGUUUGAUUCCGGGAGGAAGAUUUAAGGAAGUCUAGUUUGACACUCUGGCCCGCAGCCCCCAGGCCUCAGUCUGCUCUCUGCCUGCUGAGUUGGGCCCAGCACUGGUUACUGCGUGUGUGCCUUUGUCCUGAGUUUCAUUGAUGACCUUGGCAUAUCCAAGAUUAAUGAAGACGAAUCCGCGUCCUUACUACUAAGCAAAGAGCCUCCAAGCAAAUGAUUGUGGACCAGAGAGCUAUCUUCAUAGCCAUAAAAAGUACUUUUCAAAUAAGAGAUGUCAAAUGAGCCAAUUGCGUGCUAGAUACAGGAGACCACUAGUGCUCCCUAAAGUGCUGGGCUUCCUUGCUGUGUUAUUUAUUGAUGAACAUUGGGGAACCAGAGAUGACAAGAAGAAAG